GCGCGGCGCGAAGACUCUGGUCAGAGGCAAUUAUGUCACUGCGUUUUCUCGCCGUGACAGCCCGAAUAAACACAAUCUCCAAUAAACAUCUCUAAUGAGGGAGGAGGCCCGAGGAUGGCUGGGUUUGAUUUAUGACUAGAGGGGAAGGUCCACUUCCCACAGCUAAGUGGGCAACCUGAUCGCCCCUCAACUCUGGAGAAAGGAACCGAGGAGAGGACCCAGACUCAGGAUACAAUCCAGGAUGCCAUGUUGCAUUAGGUCCUGCUGGUCUUUAACAGACUUGACGCCAUUUCCUUGGAGAGCUGAGCGGAACACAUUUCUUCAGGGAAAAAUAUCCAGAGCACCAUCCAUUGGGUGCUACCAAGCUGCCAUCGUCAGAACACUAUGGGAUUUGGCAUCCACUGCUCAGCGUGCUGUCUCGGAAGUCUCGCCUUUCCCAUAAUGUCAUACAAUGAAAGCCUGUCUUAUUCGGGGAUGAGUGGUACACCUGUUACAUGCACCAGAAAUACCAAGGACAAGUUUAAACAGACUGGCAGAGCUCACCUGGACCACGACCUGGGAAAGAAGCAGUAGGAGAGUCACUUACAUAACGUCAAUGAAAGUUUUAUUUGUAAGAAUUAAAAAGAAAUUCCGGGGUACACACUGAAACCAUAGCAUCAAGAUGCUCUCUGUGCUUGCAUUCAGGCACCCUCCAUGAAGUCUCUUCUCUGACCUGCAUGAAGUUCUUCCUCUUCAUGACCACCAGCUGGCGGUAGGUCUGGGAGGGUCAUCUCUGCAUAGCUGCAUGUGCCCUUGGAAGUUCUGGAAGGAGCAGAAACUACAGUGCAGUGGAAUCACUACUACCCCCCGUGUGCUCUGAUAUAUUUCAUUUCAAUGCAGCCUGCAUUUCCUGAGGCGCAGGGCUGAGCACUGUGGGCUGCUGCACAGAGGAGACAAGGCUGGACUUCCAGGAGCUGUGGGAUCGAUAGUGUUGUCUGUUAGAUCCCAACUUUAAAAUAUUUUUAGCACUGGAAACUCUUUGUCCAACAAAAUCUUGCUGUUUCACUUUAGGAGAUACGAACAGAGC